AGAAGGAGAGUGAGAGAAUCCCAACCAGGGUCUGCACUGUCAGCACAGGGCCUGUCUCAGGACUCCCAACUCGCCAACUGUGAAAUCAUGACCUGAGCCAAAAUCAAGAGUCGGAAGCUUAACCAAGUGAGCCAGCCAAGCGCCCUUCAAUAAAUAUUUUGAAUAAAUAGUUGUUGAAUUCAAAAUAAUUGAAUAUUUUCAUAAUGCCAGUGUUAUAACUCUAUCUUGAAAAUCUCUGUGUUGUGACUGUUCAUACACUGGGUUUUAACCAAGUCACUGCCAAGAUGAAUGGUUUUCUCCUGGAAUUACAAUGCUGUGUUGGAAAAACCUUAGAAUAAAAUUCAAAAGAAUAUGGUUCUGAUUCAGACCACCACUUACUUCAUUUAGUGAUUUUUGAGACAAAUCCCACAGACUCUGUGUCAGUUCAGCUAUCAAAUGAAUAUACAAGGACAAAUCCUAUGCUUAAUGUUUUAUACAUAUUUUUGUAUUCAUGAUUUUACCUUGACACUGAUGUUAACAAGCUAUUGAAGGGUUUCAUUGGUAUCAAACACAACUGAAUCUUGACCUAACUAUAGAUUGACUGACGUUAAGUAAGCUAAAUGGUCUCCUCAAGAUUCUAUGCCUACGUCUUCAUUUUAAAAUGAGUUCAUAUACUUAUAGCUCAUUUCUCAUCAGAUUGCUGUGAAGUCAAAAGUGAAAAAGCAUGUAAAGUGCAUUGCACAAAGCCUUCAUAUAAAAGGGAGUUAUCUUCAAGUCUCAACUAUCCCUUUAACAAGGCUCACUCUGCUUUUCUCUUUUUCCAAGGAAAAACACACGUUGUAAAAUAAGCAUUCUUCAAAGACAACCUGAAGACGUCUGGGAAUUCCAAAGGCUGAAAAUUCCAUGAGUUCAUAGAAGCUUUCACUAAUUCCACAGAUUUAAAGACAAAAGAGAGUCAACUGUGUGCCCAAACUCAUUUCUGAUGAUUUCUUCCAUCCUACCCUUUCUGCCUCUCUGGGGGUGGCUGUGCCUGUAAAAAACAUUGAAGUUGUCAGGAACAGAGUCUGCUUUCAAGACUGGAAUGUCAGAGUAGAGACUUCUGUUCCUCAGACCAGAAGAGACUUGAUUUGCUACUGAAGAAACCACCUACCAUAAACAAUUAGAAAACUGAAAACAUCUAUGUAUUACCACUGUUUCCAGACCAUGGACUACAGACAGCACAAGACUAUGAUCCCUAAGAAAAAGAAAACAGAUGAGAUUUGUAUUCUCUGAUGUCUCCCCUUUCCUACACUUGGUGCUUCUCUGAUUUAAUUGUUUGGAAGCAGUCACUGGAAGCAAGGCUAUGUGACUCAGCUUUGGUGAUGCAGUCCAGCUGGGGUCUGACAGUCUGAAAUUGUGGCGCACACACCUUUGCUCCGAGCAGAGUCCCCACCACAGCUAUGAAUGUGGGGGUCUGGGAGAGAAACACCCUCUCUUGUCAGAAUGAGCACAACCCUGAAGAAAACAUCACAACCCCGAAGAAAAUUACCGACAUCUUAAGGAAAUGGUUCUAACUGAGGUCUUCCAACAUGCAAUACUAUGUGCUGACUCAGGGAAAACUUAAGGCAACAUGCUGAAAACAUUUACAGGCCCGGAAAAUAACUGGUUUAAUAAUUCAAGAUGCUUUUAAGUUACAAAAAGAAUACUUAAAAACAAAUAAACCUCCCUUUCCAAAA